ensembl:lncRNA
CUGAGCAGGAAGGAGAGAGGAGGAAAGUGAAAGUGUUUCUGAACAGAGAAUGUCUGCAUUAGUUUCUUCCCUACAGAAGGCUCGACGUUUGUAGUUGUAUUUGAUGUAUUGAGUGUGUUUUGUCUUCAGUCAGCUGGAUCAGCCCACCGAGCGUCAAGGAGGAACAAAGGUCCGCGUUGCUAUGGUGACCAGCAGUCUGCACAUCAGUCUCCAAGGUUAAAGGCUUGACCAACGUUUAACUGACCUGUCCAGGAAGACCUUUCACAGAGGAAUCAAAAGAACACAAUGGAGGAGAGAGAAAAAAUCAUAGAAGAAAGAGAGAAGCUUCUGAAUCAGAAAGAAAUUAAUUUUCUAGAAAGAGAAAAGCAUCUGGAUGGGAAAGAGAGCCGGUUAUUAGAGAUGGAAAAGCGUUUGGAUGGGAGAGAUACUCGUUUGGAUGAGAGAGAAAAGCGCCUGGACGGAAGAGAUAUUCGUUUGGAUGAGAGAGAAAAGCGCCUGGAAAGAAGAGAGGGACAGACAGACCCAAGACAACAUGUCUUGUCUAGGAGAAGUCAUUGGGGGUUCCUAGGGUCUUUCCUGCCCAUGGGAGAAAGUUUUCCAAUUAUCCCACCCCCCAUAAAAAGAAGAGGAAGCAUUGCUGAACCUCUAAACUGUAAGUCAUUAUCCUGUCAGGUUGUGAGUCAUUGUUCAUUAUUCAAUUGUCUUGAUUUAACGCACGGUGGCAUGGUGGGUAGCGCUGUCGCCUCACAGCAAGGAGGGCCUGGGUUCGAUUCCCCGGCCGGGCGACCAGGGUCCUCUCUGUGUGGAGUUUGCAUGUUCUCCCUGUGUCUGCGUGGGUUUCCUCCGGGUUCUCCGGUUUCCUCCCACGGUCCAAAGACAUGCAGUCAGGCCAAUUGGACAUGCUAAAUUACCCCUAGGUGUGAGUGACUGUUUGUGUCUGUCUGUCUGCCCUACGAUGGACUGGCGACCUGUCCAGGUUGUAUCCUGCCUUUCGCCCGAAGACUGCUGGGAUAGGCUCCAGCACCCCCCCGCGACCCUGACGGAGAAGCGGCAUGGAUGGAUGGAUGAUUUAACGUUACAAUAAACUUAAAGGGGAACAUCACUGGCUUUUUAAAAUGUCUGAAUAGUUAAAUGUUUAAGGUGUAAACGCUCAUUCAGAGUGAUCUGAUGUGACGUACUCUGAAUUAGAGAACCUCUCUGCCUCUGAUUCUCUGACUCUUCAAGCCCUGGGCCAACAUUCAACAACCAUGGGCUCCUCUUAGCAGCUGAAGACGUGAAAAUCAAGCAAACUGAUGCCUACAAAGAAGGAGAAGAGUAUAAAAAGAACUGCUCAUAUCCAAAAGGCAAAGCAAAACCCCCACAUGACAGCAAAGGACCUGCAGGAAGGUUAAGUUGACACAUUAGAGGCGGUGCACUGUUCUACUGUGCAGCACUGCUUGUGC